rnacentral:rRNA from 1 species
AAACCAACAGGGAUUGCCUCAGUAACGGCGAGUGAAGCGGCAACAGCUCAAAUUUGAAAUCUGGCCCCUUCGGGGUCCGAGUUGUAAUUUGUAGAGGAUGUUUCGGGCACGGUCCGGGCUUAAAUUUCUUGGAACAGAAUGUCAGAGAGGGUGAGAAUCCCGUCUGGAGUCUGUCGACACGGCCUAUGUGAAACUCCUUCGACGAGUCGAGUUGUUUGGGAAUGCAGCUCUAAAUGGGUGGUAAAUUUCAUCUAAAGCUAAAUAUUGGCCAGAGACCGAUAGCGCACAAGUAGAGUGAUCGAAAGAUGAAAAGCACUUUGAAAAGAGAGUUAAACAGUAUGUGAAAUUGUUGAAAGGGAAGCGCUGGCAACCAGACUUGCGCGUCGCGGUUCCCCCUGGCUUCUGCCUGGGUUACUCCGCGGCGCUCAGGCCAACAUCGGUUUCGGGGGUCGGUUAAAGGCCCGGGGAAUGUACCUACUCUUCGGGGUAGACUUAUAGCCCUGGGUGUCAUGCGACCUCCCGGGACCGAGGAACGCGCUUCGGCUCGGAUGUUGGCGUAAUGGUUGUCAGCGAC